CGAAGAACUAGUGCUUGCACUAGUGGAUUAGUGGCGGACGGGUGAGUAACGCGUGGGAAUCUGCCCAGAAGUGGGGGACAGCCCAGAGAAAUCCGGAUUAAUACCGCAUACCUUCUACGGAAGAAAGGCUUCGGCCGCUUUUGGAUGAGCCCGCGUUAGAUUAGCUAGUUGGUGGGGUAAAGGCCUACCAAGGCAACGAUCUAUAGCUGGUCUGAGAGGACGAUCAGCCACAUCGGGACUGAGACACGGCCCGGACUCCUACGGGAGGCAGCAGNGGGGAAUAUUGGACAAUGGACGCAAGUCUGAUCCAGCAAUGCCGCGUGUGUGAAGAAGGCCCGAGGGUUGUAAAGCACUUUCAGUUGGGAAGAUAAUGACGUUACCAACAGAAGAAGCACCGGCUAACUCCGUGCCAGCAGCCGCGGUAAUACGGAGGGUGCAAGCGUUAAUCGGAAUUACUGGGCGUAAAGCGCGCGUAGGCGGUUAUUUAAGUCAGAUGUGAAAUCCCUGGGCUCAACCUAGGAACUGCAUCUGAUACUGGAUAACUAGAGUUUUGGAGAGGUAAGUGGAAUUUCCGGUGUAGCCGGUGAAAUGCAUAGAGAUCGGAAGGAACACCAGUGGCGAAGGCGACUUACUGGCCAAAAACUGACGCUGAGGUGCGAAAGCGUGGGUAGCGAACAGGAUUAGAUACCCUGGUAG
rnacentral:rRNA from 1 species